UGCCAGCCGCCGCGGUAACACGAACUGCGCGAACGUUAUUCGGAAUCACUGGGCUUAAAGAGUCCGUAGGCGGCUCGGUAGGUGGGGUGUGAAAGCCCACGGCUCAACCGUGGAAUUGCGCUCCAAACCAUCGGGCUAGAGGGAGAUAGAGGAGAGCGGAACUGAUGGUGGAGCGGUGAAAUGCGUUGAUAUCAUCAGGAACACCGGUGGCGAAAGCGGCUCUCUGGGUCUCUUCUGACGCUGAGGGACGAAAGCUAGGGGAGCGAACGGGAUUAGAUA
rnacentral:rRNA from 1 species